UGGUCUUAGCUUGCUAAGGCCGAUGGCGACCGGCGCACGGGUGAGUAACACGUAUCCAACCUGCCGUCUACUCUUGGACAGCCUUCUGAAAGGAAGAUUAAUACAAGAUGGCAUCAUGAGUCCACAUGUUCACAUGAUUAAAGAAUUUCGGUUAUCGAUGGGGAUGCGUUCCAUUAGAUAGUAGGCGGGGUAACGGCCCACCUAGUCUUCGAUGGAUAGGGGUUCUGAGAGGAAGGUCCCCACAUUGGAACUGAGACACGGUCCAAACUCC
rnacentral:rRNA from 1 species